GGGGGGACCAUCCUCCAAGGCUAAAUACUCCUGACUGACCGAUAGUGAACCAGUACCGUGAGGGAAAGGCGAAAAGAACCCCGGCGAGGGGAGUGAAAAAGAACCUGAAACCGUGUACGUACAAGCAGUGGGAGCCUCUUUAUGGGGUGACUGCGUACCUUUUGUAUAAUGGGUCAGCGACUUAUAUUCUGUAGCAAGGUUAACCGAAUAGGGGAGCCGAAGGGAAACCGAGUCUUAACUGGGCGUUAAGUUGCAGGGUAUAGACCCGAAACCCGGUGAUCUAGCCAUGGGCAGGUUGAAGGUUGGGUAACACUAACUGGAGGACCGAACCGACUAAUGUUGAAAAAUUAGCGGAUGACUUGUGGCUGGGGGUGAAAGGCCAAUCAAACCGGGAGAUAGCUGGUUCUCCCCGAAAGCUAUUUAGGUAGCGCCUCGUGAAUUCAUCUCCGGGGGUAGAGCACUGUUUCGGCAAGGGGGUCAUCCCGACUUACCAACCCGAUGCAAACUGCGAAUACCGGAGAAUGUUAUCACGGGAGACACACGGCGGGUGCUAACGUCCGUCGUGAAGAGGGAAACAACCCAGACCGCCAGCUAAGGUCCCAAAGUCAUGGUUAAGUGGGAAACGAUGUGGGAAGGCCCAGACAGCCAGGAUGUUGGCUUAGAAGCAGCCAUCAUUUAAAGAAAGCGUAAUAGCUCACUGGUCGAGUCGGCCUGCGCGGAAGAUGUAACGGGGCUAAACCAUG
rnacentral:rRNA from 1 species